UCUUCUUUUUUCUACUAUUUCCAUUUUUUUCUGGAUUUUUCAUUUGUUUUUGCUUUUUUUUUUUACAAUGUCCUAUUAAGCGGACUGCAAAUCAUGCGAAGAACAGAUGCAGAACUGGAAUAUUUACAAAUAAAAGUAAAAAUAAAAUCAGCAGGGGAUUAAUUUUUAAAUUUUUUCCCCUAGGUCUUUAAGACUGAAUGAGGAUAUUUGAGUCGAGAAGAAGAUACUUCUAGUAUCAUAGGGUCUUCUUGCCUCUCUUUUGUGCUAUCUAUACUAGGGUUUGGUAUUUGUUCUGAGGAGGUUCCGGUAUCCGGUAUUGGAGGUUUCUCAGAGAAAAUAUAUGCUUGUGGUGGAGAAGGUGAUAGUGAUAAGGGAAUUAUUUUUACAGAGGUGGAUGGAUGGACUACUGGGAUUAGUGAGGUUUGAGAAAGCAUAUUAUUGUUGGGUCUGUUUUGCUGUUGGUUUGUUGGGGGAAAGAACAAACUGGGUACCACUGGUAUUUAGGAAGAUACUUUGGAGGAGGAGUGGAGAGAGAUUGAGAUGGAGAUACAAUAUCUUGAGCUUGGGGAUUCUUGAGAUCUCUGAUCUGUUGCUCCAAAAUAGCAAUUUUCUGUAGGUGGUUCUGGUCUCUUGUUCUCAGUUCAUCACAAAUAAUAUUGAGCUUCUGGAACUGUGUGACCAUUGUUACGCAGUUGUCACAGAAACUAGUUCUCUCAAUGUUGUAGGCAGAUGUAGAGGCUGGAAUUUGUGGAGAAGAGCAAAUAGUCGGGGAAAUGAAAAGGUUUGGACCAAGGUGGUUUCUGGCUAUGUCUAAGGCUUCAGAAAGAGAAUGAAAACCUUUGUAGAGAGGUUGUGGAAAAUUUUUGACCUGUGUAUGACUUCUAUCCAAGAGUCAAAAACACCGGGUUUUAAAACCUUGAAAGACUACAUAGAAUGGAAAAGUGUCUUUGGAUUUGACAGUCUGGAAAUACUCUACUAAGGAGUUUAUGCAUGUAACAAAAUAUCUUUUGUAAAUGAAAAAGUCUUAGGAAAUGAGUUUUAAAGGUGGGAAAGGUAAAACAGUCUACAAAUGUCAGAUCUAAUAUCAUCUAAAGAUUCCUCAAAUAGUCUCCAAAUAUCUGUACGGAUGUUAUCUUGGUAAUGUAAUUCCCAAAGGAUUUGUCUGAUUUUCUCUAUUUCCAAUUCUUUAAUUUCUUCUUGAUGUCUUUCUAGAUUUACGAACAUUUUGUAAGUAUGGUCAUGAGUCAAAUGUCUUAUGUCAUCGCCUUCUAUUUUCCAUGCUUCGUCGGAUAAUGUUUCUUUUUCGUCUCUCUGUCUGUUUUGUUCUGUGGCACUGAGCCACCACAUGUCUAGCCAAUAUUGUUCAACCAUAUCAUUGUAAAAGUCUGGAUGAGCGAACUCUGGAAGUUCCUCGUCAUAGGUCUUGAAAACCAUUUUUAUCACAGAUCUUGUACCAAAAAGUGGUCUUGUAGGUCUUGAAUCUGAAAUAUUCAAUAUUAUAUGUAAGAGGUUUUAAGAGGAUUUACCAGUUGUAUUAAAUGGCUGAAUUGAUGACUUACUAGGGGUAUUAGGAGAUUUGGUAUUUGGAGGGGCUAAAUGUCUUGGGACUUGUCUAUGAAAGCUCCAUGGCCGGAUAGGUUCUUUGUAGGAGUGUCCUUUGAUUGUUCUUCAAUUUGGAGUGAAGAAAAAUGCUUUAUAACUUCUUGGACAAUAGGGGUUGUAUCUAUAGUAGGAGUGAAACUCUCAGUAGGUCUUUGUUGUGCUAGCAAAGUUUCUAAUGCAUGUAUCUUGCUAUGUAAUCCAAAUAAAAGUUGUAUAAUGGUGUUGUUUUGCUUAAUUAUAAUUUGCUCAGAUAAUGCUUGUGGAUGAUGAGAUGAAAAACCUAUAGAAGUAUUGUCUGGACUAUAAUGUUGGACUUUUGAUAAAGUCUUUCGCAAAAGUUCAGCUUCUAGAUAUUCCGGGCUUGUCAUCCAAGAGAAAUUUGUCUAAUUUCAACUAUGUUUUGAAGACUAAUAUGUAAAUCUUGUUCUAUUUUAAAUAGUUUUUGUUCUAUCCUUUGCGGUCUUGCUUCUAGUUGGCUUAGUCUGUAGUCUAAACUUGAAAUUUUACUUUCUAUUAAUGUGUUCUGGUUUUUUAUAUAGUCUAGGUUUCGUGUUAUUUUGUCAAGUAACUCUGCUUGAGUUCUGAUUGUCUGGUCUAGUCUAAGUAAUAAUUGUUGGAGAGUCCUUAGAGGAUCUAUUUUGAAAUAUUUUUAUAGAAACCAAAAGUAAAAAGAGGGAAAUCUCCUGUGAGAUAGUAAAUGAUAAAGGGAUAGGGAAGGUCUAGAUUUAGUAAUGUUUUGUCAUAUAAUGUCAGAAACAUAAAUAAAAAGAGGGCUCUAUGUCUUUUUGAUUUUCUUUUAAUCCUCGCCAUGGUUUUGUCUUUUAAAAUGAGAAGGAAGUAUUUGGGGUAGACUCGAAAUAUUUGAUUAGCCUAUUAAGAAGGUCUAUUUGGGAUUUAUUAGUCUUUUCUAUGUUCACCAAUACUUGUUGGAUAGUGAAAAGAAUGAUUACGAUGCUUAAAAGUAAUAUAGAUGGGACUAACAUUAAUCCUGUUUUAAAGAUGUGGAGGAACGUUUGGUCUUCUGGAAAGGUUGUCAAAAAGAUGAGGAUAGUGUCUUAGUUCCUGGUCUAAAUGAAUAUAAUGCACCAAAAUAAAUCUAGAUAUCUGAGUGGCUCAAUAUAAAAGGUUUUUAAAGUGCGGUAAUGUAUUAAUGUUCCAAUAGGGUGAUUAGCGUAAACAGGGUUGUUUACCAAGUUGUGAGUGAAAGUGUCUACCUCGAAAGUGUCUUCAACGGUAAUUUCCAAAAAUCUUCUGCGUCCAAUAUGAACUAUAUUAUAUCUCCAAUUAAAUUGUCUUGGACUAGUAGUAUUUUCACUAUAGUCUGAACUAUCGUCUUCUCCUUCGUAGUCUUCGUAGUCUCUUAGAAUUUCGUCUUCGUCUGUGUUAGCCAGUGUCUUCGUUAUGGUUAAAUCUUCUUAUAUCUUUGAAAGACCAAAAUAUAAGAAAUGGGUCUUCUUCCCAAAUACGGCUUAAUGAGUCUAGAAAAUUAAAUACAAAGCUAGGUGGUAAUCCUACUAAUAGGGAAUCCAAAACAAAGGCUAUGAUAUGGAAAGGAGUGUAAAGAAAUUCUAAAAUAGGUUCUAUAAGACUAUAUAAAUUUAUUAUAUAGAAUGGAGUGCAAAGAAAUUCUAAAAUAGGUUUUAUAAGAAUAUAUAAAUUUAUUAUUUGGUUAUCUUUAUCUAGGAUGAAAGUAUAUUCUGAAAGAAGGGUCGAAUAAUUAAAGUCUAAAGAAAUUAUCGUUUCCGUUUACCUUUGUAGGGCAAAGGCCACAUAAGUAAAUUUGGGUCAAAGAUCUCCCAAAAUAUUAAUAAUGUAUCUAAAAUAUUGUAUAUGAGUUCGUUUGGGAAUUCUAAAAGAAAUGCUGUCAAGAUAAAUGUUACCAGAGGAGAUGGCAGGUCUGUAGUUGUAAUACACUGAACUUUCGCAAAUUGCAGAGUUCGAGUGUGUGGAUUGAAAUGUGGAACUAUCCUACAUAUUCUAAAUGACUUGGACAAGUUUUUGAACAAGUUAGAGAGUGAUUGGAGGGUUAAAAGCAAGAAAGUGCGCUGAUCUGGCGAAUCAGCAGUUUUUUGCUUGGUGUACUGGUACAGCCAUUAUGGUGUACCGGUACACAAUGGUAAAACGUGGCAGCAAGGUUAUAUUGGUAAUUCACAUUUUGAUCCUAUCUAUUUGAAUCCAGCACGACCUCUGGAGCUCCAUAGAUGAUGCUAGAGCUCAAAGAAAGGCCCUUGCACCAUUUUCUCUCUCUCUCUAGGUUUUUCUCUCUCUACAAAGAAAUCGCCGAUUUUGCUCGUUUUCGUCGCAACGUUGGUUUUCCGCUGGUUGCGAGCGUCGCUGAGCCUACGUGGACGUGUGAGGGAGUAUUUUGGAGAGCUUUUCGCAGCUCUGGACCAGUAGAGUACUGGUUGGAUGUUCGAUAAGGCAACCGACUCAACUUUUCUGUUAUCGACGUUCUAUUCGUCAGAUUGAGUAUUGAUUUCGGGCUUUUCUUGCUUCCAACUGUUUAACUGUUUUAAACUGAGGUUUCAGCAAGUAAAUAUGAGUGAACUAGCUGUGAAUGAACCUCCUUAGAUCAGGGAUAAGCUACUUUGAAGCUUAUUUGAGAUGUUUAGCUGUUUAUGAAGCUAUUUUGAACCUAUACGCGGGUUAGUUGAUCAAAUUGAUGUAGUUUGAGCUUUUCUCUUCGCAGCAGGUUUGCGAACUAAAUUAAGCUAGUUUGGUGACCUAGGGAUCUAGUUUGGAAGGUGUUCUAAUCAAGGGUAAGCAGGAAUUUCAGCUAGAAAUUUAAUCUCGCAAGACUUCGACUAUUAUAGCUUAUAAUCGACUUUAUUGAUGCCAUUUCGGCAUUGUUCGUAGCGAGAGGGUAAUUGAUCCUUGGACCGCCUUCAACUGGCAUUGGAGGGCCUUUUGGAAGCUUAACUUGAGCAGGAUUGGAGCCUUGGUGAGCUGAUUAGUGGGACUUCUUGAGACUAUUUGGAGGAGCCUAGUACUAGAGUCAUCUACAGGAGAGGCUAGGGAUCGUGGCAAGGGAG